rnacentral:rRNA from 1 species
GCUUCCGGCCACACCUCCCUGAGCACGCCCGAUCUCCUCUGAUCUCGGAAGCUAAGCAGGGUCUGGCCCGGUUAGUACUUGGAUGGGAGACCGCCUGGGAAAUACCAGGUGCUGUAAGCC